UAACGAAGUGGUUGAUGCCAUGCUUCCAAGAAAAGCUUCUAAGCUUCAGGUAACCAGGAACCGUACCCCAAACCGACACAGGUGGUUGGGUAGAGAAUACCAAGGCGCUUGAGAGAACUCGGGUGAAGGAACUAGGCAAAAUGGCACCGUAACUUCGGGAGAAGGUGCGCCGGUGAGGGUGAAGGACUUGCUCCGUAAGCUCAUGCCGGUCGAAGAUACCAGGCCGCUGCGACUGUUUAUUAAAAACACAGCACUCUGCAAACACGAAAGUGGACGUAUAGGGUGUGACGCCUGCCCGGUGCCGGAAGGUUAAUUGAUGGGGUUAGCUAACGCGAAGCUCUUGAUCGAAGCCCCGGUAAACGGCGGCCGUAACUAUAACGGUCCUAAGGUAGCGAAAUUCCUUGUCGGGUAAGUUCCGACCUGCACGAAUGGCGUAACGAUGGCGGCGCUGUCUCCACCCGAGACUCAGUGAAAUUGAAAUCGCUGUGAAGAUGCAGUGUAUCCGCGGCUAGACGGAAAGACCCCGUGAACCUUUACUAUAGCUUUGCACUGGACUUUGAAUUUGCUUGUGUAGGAUAGGUGGGAGGCUUUGAAGCGUGGACGCCAGUCUGCGUGGAGCCAACCUUGAAAUACCACCCUGGCAACUUUGAGGUUCUAACUCAGGUCCGUUAUCCGGAUCGAGGACAGUGUAUGGUGGGUAGUUUGACUGGGGCGGUCUCCUCCUAAAGAGUAACGGAGGAGUACGAAGGUGCGCUCAGACCGGUCGGAAAUCGGUCGUAGAGUAUAAAGGCAAAAGCGCGCUUGACUGCGAGACAGACACGUCGAGCAGGUACGAAAGUAGGUCUUAGUGAUCCGGUGGUUCUGUAUGGAAGGGCCAUCGCUCAACGGAUAAAAGGUACUCCGGGGAUAACAGGCUGAUACCGCCCAAGAGUUCAUAUCGACGGCGGUGUUUGGCACCUCGAUGUCGGCUCAUCACAUCCUGGGGCUGAAGCCGGUCCCAAGGGUAUGGCUGUUCGCCAUUUAAAGUGGUACGCGAGCUGGGUUUAGAACGUCGUGAGACAGUUCGGUCCCUAUCUGCCGUGGACGUUUGAGAUUUGAGAGGGGCUGCUCCUAGUACGAGAGGACCGGAGUGGACGAACCUCUGGUGUUCCGGUUGUCACGCCAGUGGCAUUGCCGGGUAGCUAUGUUCGGAAUAGAUAACCGCUGAAAGCAUCUAAGCGGGAAACUAGCCUCAAGAUGAGAUCUCACUGGAACCUUGAGUUCCCUGAAGGGCCGUCGAAGACUACGACGUUGAUAGGUUGGGUGUGUAAGCGCUGUGAGGCGUUGAGCUAACCAAUACUAAUUGCCCGUGAGGCUUGACCAU
rnacentral:rRNA from 1 species